UACGUAGGGGGCAAGCGUUGUCCGGAUUUAUUGGGCGUAAAGAGCUCGUAGGUGGCUUAGUAAGUCGGGUGUGAAACCUCCAGGCUCAACCUGGAGACGCCACCCGAUACUGCUAUAGCUUGAGUCCGGUAGGGGAGCGUGGAAUUCCUGGUGUAGCGGUGAAAUGCGCAGAUAUCAGGAAGAACACCCGUGGCGAAGGCGGCUCUCUGGGACGGUACUGACGCUGAGACGCGAAAGCGUGGGGAGCGAACAGG
rnacentral:rRNA from 1 species